GCCAGAUGAUUUUGUGUACCUAUGAGUGAUCUGAAGAACACUCUCUCCAAUCAUUAGAUCAGAGAAGAUCAAGAUCAAAAUUUAUUUGGUAACGAUCUCUAACUUAUUUUGAUUUCUAUGGUAGAUCUAAUAGUUAGAUCCAGAAUUGCAGCAUCGAUGAGAUCGAUGUGAUUUUUAUUUUUAGAUCUAAAGCACAUAUUUUUUAUAUCAAAGAUCUUGAUAUGGUAGUAUAAGAUUAGAUCUUAUACAUGUGAUUAGGAUUAAAUUAUUUAAUCUAUUAUAUCCAUUGCAUAAAAUUUUUAAUUGCAUGUAUUGCACUAUCA
rnacentral:lncRNA from 1 species